AAAAAAAAGUAAUUUCUCAAUGCUUUUAAUGUUAAGUUAGAAGUCCCAUGCUAAUGCUAACACUGCACUCAUAUAACAUUGUUGGACUUAUGAGCAGAGACAGAGAUAUAUCACCUUUUUAUUGCAUGAAUGUUUCAAAACCUGGCAGCUACACUGACUGAGACUGGUGUGUGUUAUGCUAGUAGCAGCUAAGAUGAGGAACUACAAAGGUCCGCUAACCUUGGGUGUCUUUCUAACUCUACGCUUGGACAUUUUUUAGACUUGUAGUCUUCAGCCCCAAACCAAUGCUGACUCAAAUGAAAUCACCAUGAGUGAGGUGUGAAAAAAAAAGUAACCUCUCAAUGCUUUU